AAAACUGGCGCGUCCACAAGUAUGGGUGGUUUGGGAGGUGGUUAUGGGUUAUGGGUGAUAUGGGGUGGUUAUGGGUGUUAUGGGUAUGGGGUAUAUGGGGUGGUUAUGGGGUUAUGGGGUUAUGGGGUUAUGGGGUGGUUAUGGGGUUAUGGGUGAUAUUGGGGUGGUUAUGGGGUGAUAUGGGGUGGUUAUGGGGUUAUGGGGUGGUUAUGGGGGGAUAUGGGGUGGUUAUGGGGCACUAUGGGGUGGUUAUGGGGCAACUAUUGGCGGUGAUAUGGGGGUGAUUAUGGCGGUGAGUUAUGGGGCGCUAUGGGGUGGUUAUGGGGGGUAUGGGUUGUGAUAUGGGGUGGUUAUGGGGGCGCUAUGGGCGUUGGUUAUGGGUGAUAUGGGG
rnacentral:lncRNA from 1 species